GUGUACAAGGCCCGGGAACGCAUUCACCNNAGCAUGCUGAUCUGCAAUUACUAGCGAUUCCGACUUCAUGCAGGCGGGUUGCAGACUGCAAUACGAACUGANNNNCGGUUUUUGGGGUUGGCUCUGCCUCACGGCUUCGCUGCCCUUUGUGCCCGCCCUUGGAAUACCUGGGGAACCCCAGNACAUAAGGGGCAUGAUAACUGGACGUCAUCCCACCUUUCUUC
rnacentral:rRNA from 1 species